CUACGGGGGGCUCCAGUGAGGAAUAUUGUACAAUGGGGGAAACCCUGAUGCAGCAACGCCGCGUGGAGGAUGACGCAUUUCGGUGUGUAAACUCCUUUUAUGAGUCAAGAAAAUGACGGUAGCAUAUGAAUAAGCACCGGCUAACUCCGUGCCAGCAGCCGCGGUAAUACGGAGUGGUGCAAGCGUUACUCAGAAUCACUGGGCGUAAAGGACGCGUAGGCGGGUUGGAAAGUCAGGUGUGAAAUCCUACAGCUUAACUGUAGAACUGCACUUGAAACUUCUAAUCUAGAGUAUGGGAGGGGGAGAUGGAAUUAGUGGUGUAGGGGUAAAAUCCGUAGAUAUCACUAGGAAUACCUAAAGCGAAGGCGAUCUCCUGGAACAUUACUGACGCUAAGGCGUGAAAGCGUGGGGAGCAAACAGGAUUAGAUACCCCAGUAGUC
rnacentral:rRNA from 1 species